rnacentral:rRNA from 1 species
GAUGAACGCUGGCGGCAUGCCUAACACAUGCAAGUCGAUCGGUAAGGCUCUUCGGAGUACACGAGAGGCGGACGGCUGAGUAACGCGUAGGAACACACCCUGCAGUGAGGGAUAAGACACCGAAAGGUGUUCUAGUACCGCAUACGGUCUUCGGAUUAAAGCAUUUAUGCGCUGAAGGAGUGGCCUGCGUCAUAUUAGAUAGUUGGUGAGGUAAUGGCUCACCAAGUCGAUGAUGUGUAGCUGGUCUGAGAGGAUGAUCAGCCAGACUGGAACUGAGACACGGUCCAGACUCCUACGGGAGGCAGCAGUGAGGAAUAUUUCACAAUGAGCGAAAGCUUGAUGGAGCAAUGCCGCGUGCAGGAUGAAGGCCCUCGGGUUGUAAACUGCUUUUAUAAGAGAAGAUUAUGACGGUAACUUAUGAAUAAGGGACGGCUAACUACGUG